rnacentral:tRNA from 1 species
ACACCAGUAGCCAAGUUGGUUAAGGCCCCGAACUCAUAAUUCGGUUAUCGUAGGUUCAAGUCCUACCUGGUGUACAA